UCACUGUUGUCAUACAACAGAACACAACACAAGGAUGUGGAUGAAGAGGUUAACAAGAAGAAUCUAUUAUAUCAUUUGGGUUGGGAGUAUCUCAUCUUGUGCUGUGGUGAGAGGGGCAUAAAUACAGCGAAAGAACUUUUACACUGGGUUGGGUCCCUUUCCCUGCUGCUGCUACUACUAACAACUAUUACUAACCCAUGGUAAACACUUUCACCAAUCAAUAACACGACGCACGCACGCACGCGCCGCCGAUCGCCUGCGCCCAGCACAGCGGCGGCUGAUAUAUAUGUAUGUAAUGUAAAUCCUGUAAGAUGGUACACAGGAAGGCUACAUGGGGAGACACAGAAAAGCUAGGAAAACAAACAGUAAGAUGAAGAAGAAGAAGGGGUCUUGCUUCUUUCUUUUCCUCCCCGGUUUCGCGACGGAGCCUCCCGCGCCAAAAACUUCUGACUGUUGUUGUAUAAUUUACAGCACCG
rnacentral:lncRNA from 1 species